rnacentral:misc_RNA from 1 species
CUAUUCACUCUUCCUAAGGCUAUCGAGAAGGGAUUGAUUCUAUUUACAGACAGCUUUCCUUCUUGUCCACGCUUUGAAGGCUAUGAGACAGAUUCACAGUAAGCACAGCUCUUGCUUAUCCCCCCUUGCCAUCUAUUCAUGCUUGGCACACUAAGAGAGGAAGGAUUGCCACGCAGGGUUGGGCUUCUUAGUGAGCCUUAUUGUUUUGUUUGUGCCUAAGGUCAUAGAAGGGGGAGGAAGAUCUAUCCCUAAGAGCUAAGAUAAGUCAGAGCUAAGAAAGACAGACUAGAAAGAGAAUGCUACUACUCCGAUUACCUAUUAUCCCCCUUAUCCACGCUUUGACUUGCCUUAAUGAUUGGUCCCCGUAGACAGGUAUUGCUUCAAUGCCCUUGCUAUCUUCAAAGGUAGAAGAAGGUUAAGGAAGAGCAAUGCUUACCUUACCAUACAAUAGUAGAUUGGUCCAUUGGGAGCUACUACUGAUUCCGGCUUGGGAUUCUUAGAGCUCCAAAGAAAGGUCAAAGAAGGCAGGGAAUCACAGACAUGUAAUGAAUUGAAUAAAGAAGGCCGGCAAGGUAAAGAUAGAGCUCCACACAUAGUUUAUAGUUCAGCGCAAGGCUAGCUCUCAUUUAUUAUAUGCUGGAAAACUGCCUGCCCUUAGGGGACCUUGUGAUUCAUCUCGCGUCCUAUCUACACACGUACUUGUCUCGUUCCGAGUGCUAGGACCGAACUAAUCCGAAUCCUUCUACCAAUAAGAUCUUAACCAGCCAUUGAGUAGUAGCUCUUGUUUAUUCAGCGGAUCGACGAGAGAGGCCAUUCUGCAACCUGAAAAGCCUUAUGCGCCUUAUUUUCUUCUUCCUAACUAUUCUAUGCGUGCGUCUCCAUGGCUAGAAGUGGGAAGAGCUUCCAUAACUUGUGAGACUGUACUCAGUCUCUCUUAGUCUUUCUUAUUCUCAUUUACCUUCGCCUUCUUCUUAGCCUUUGGCUUCUUUUCUUCCUUCGACUUGCAUGUGUUAAGCAUAAGGCUUCAGCCAAUCUCGAAACGAAACAUUGCCUGACGUGAACGGACGCUUUCUCGAAUCUUCACCUUUCCUACGAUCUUUCUUCUCUUAUGUAAUUUUCUUAUUUAGUCUAAAGAGUGGAUCAAAGUUAAGAGUCAUUUUCAUCCUCUUAACAUUGAUCAGAAGCAUCCUGCAG